GGCACAGCUCUCACACACUCUGGGAGUCCAGACAGCCCCGAGCGUGCUGGGCGCAGGGGUGGGGGGCGGGGGGAGAGCAAAGAAACUCUGUGCCCGUUGCCAGCAGCCAAGGAAGGAUGUGUCUGCCAAACAAGCGUAGCGGUAAUUAAAACGUGACGGCAGCUAUCGCCAAGAACUCCUCCCACGCCCGGUCAAGGGCGGCACGAGGUGUCACAGUCGCGGGCAGGGGCCCGCCCGUGCUCCCACCAGGCAGGUGUCCGCGUCUGCAUCGCCGCUCCCAAUGCCGGGACCCACAGCCAGGUGUGGGUUUGGAACAGGAGCCCUUGAACG